AGACAGGAAGCGUGAGGACAGAAUCCAGCUGCUUCCACUCCAGGGUAGGUCUGAAGCCAACCGUCCUCGGUUUCCUGGCCUGUGGCAUCAGUCUGGUUGGAUUACACACAAAGCCCUGCAGAUCUGCUGCUUUUCCUGAUUCUCCUGUCCUGAGUGAGUGCAAGGGGCUCCCCUGUCGCCGAUGUGUUCUUUGAAGCAGAUGCUGUGCCUGAUACCUGCUGGAGAGUCCCACCGCCUUGAGCUUCUGGGUCGAGAAAGGCCAAGUUGCACACUACUGAGAGACUGCCAUGCACCCCCUGGAGGCCUCAGAACAUUCGACAUGCUCCAGUCAUGGCCACGGCAGUGACUGCUGAUUGCCUAACCCCACAUGUGUUCUCCCCCUUCCCUGAUAAUCAAGCCCCUGAUUUUCAGCUGGGCACAAAAUAAUUCUUCCUAGAACAACUCCACGUGUGUUAUCGCCCUUGCAGCUGGGGGUGGCCACCACUGGGGAGAGGCAGGGUGAAGAGGUCGAAGGAGCCUGAGUUAGCAGGGAUGAGCAGUGGCCAGGUAACCCCAGACCCAUUAUCCUCUGGAUUUCUUUUAUGUGAAACAAUAAAAUGUCUUGUAUUCGA